CCGACCGAGAUGGCCGCCUCGCUUCGCGUUCCUAGGGAACUAUGCAGUAUUUUGUUUUUUUAUGUGUUAUUCCUUACAUUGGUACCCCAGGUAAUCUUAGGUUUCAUUACAUACAGUCGGGAGGAACUACUGAAUAUAAGAGCAACGUCAACUCACCAUCGUUACAACCAGGAAUAUGACUCUCCCGAAGAGGAUCCUGUGUUUUGCCUUCCACCCAAUACAAUGGAUCUGAUCCCAGCCGGUGACCCUAAACAACGACGCCGAAAAAGGGGCAAACGAAGCGGUCUCCUGGUCAGGCUUCGGAGACGGGCACAUCGCGCUCCACUCCCUAGCAUACUACUCGCCAAUGUCCAGUCUCUUGACAAUAAGGUUGAUGAAAUCCGAGCAAGGGUAACAUUCCAGAGAGACAUCAGGGAUUGUAACGUUCUUUGCUUCACGGAAACAUGGCUCACUCAAGAGACGCUACCGGAGUCGGUGCAGCCAGCUGGUUUCUUCACACAUCGCGCCGACAGAAACAAACAUCAUUCUGGUAAGAAGAGGGGCGGGGGUGUAUGCCUUAUGAUCAACGAGACGUGGUGUGAUCAUAACAACAUACAGGAACUCAAGUCAUUCUGUUCAUCAGAUUUAGAAACCCUUACAAUCAAAUGUCGACCGCAUUAUCUACCAAGGGAAUUCUCUUCGAUUAUAAUCACAGCUGUAUAUAUCCUCCCCCAGGCAGACACAUCGAUGGCCCUGAACGAACUUUAUCUGACUCUUUGUAAACUGGAAACCACACACCCUGAGGCUGCAUUCAUCGUAGCUGGGGAUUUUAACAAGGCUAAUCUGAAAACAAAACUCCCUAAAUUCUAUCAGCAUAUCGAUUGUGCUACCAGGGCUGGUAAAACCUUGAAUCAUUGUUAUACUAACUUCCGCGACACAUAUAAUGCCCUGCCCCGCCCUCCUUUCGGAAAAGCUGACCACGACUCCAUUUUGUUGCUCCCAGCCUACAAACAGAAACUAAAACAGCAAGCUCCCGCGCUCAGAUCUGUUCAACGCUGGUCCGACCAAUCUGAUUCCACGCUUCAAGACUGCUUCGAUUACGUGGAUUGGGAUAUGUUCCGCAUUGCGUCCAACAACAACAUUGACGAAUACACUGAUUCGGUGAGCGAGUUCAUUAGAAAGUGCAAUGACGAUGUCGUACCCACAGCAACGAUUAAAACAUUCCCAAACCAGAAACCGUGGAUUGAUGGCAGCAUUCGCGUGAAACUGAAAGCGCGAACCAAUGCUUUUAACCAUGGCAAGGUGACCGGAAACAUGAUCGAAUACAAACAGUGUAGCUAUUCCCUCCGCAAGGCAAUCAAACAAGCUAAGUCCCAGUAUAGAGACAAAGUAGAGUCGCAAUUCAACAGCUCAGACACAAGAGGUAUGUGGCAGGGUCUACAGUCAAUCACGGAUUACAAAAAGAAAACCAGCCCCGUCGCGGACCAGGAUGUCUUGCUCCCAGACAGACUAAAUAACUUUUUUGCUUGCUUUGAGGACAAUACAGCGCCACUGACACGGCCCGCUACCAAAACCUGCGGGCUCUCCUUCACUGCAGCCGAGGUGAGUAAAACAUUUAAACGUGUUAACCCUCGCAAGGCUGCAGGCCCAGACGGCAUUCCCAGCCGCGUCCUCAGAGCAUGCGCAGACCAGCUGGCUGGUGUGUUUAAGGACAUAUUCAAUCAAUACUUAUCCCAGUCUGCUGUUCCCACAUGCUUCAAGAGGGCCACCAUUGUUCCUGUUCCCAAGAAAGCUAAGGUAACUGAGCUAAACGACUACCGCCCCGUAGCACUCACUUCCGUCAUCAUGAAGUGCUUUGAGAGACUAGUCAAGGACCAUAUCACCUCCACCCUACCUGACACCCUAGACCCACUCCAAUUUGCUUACCGACCCAAUAGGUCCACAGAUGACGCAAUCGCAACCACACUGCACACUGCCCUAACCCAUCUGGACAAGAGGAAUACCUAUGUGAGAAUGCUGUUCAUCGACUACAGCUCAGCAUUUAACGCCAUAGUACCCUCCAAACUCAUCAUCAAGCUCGAGACCCUGGGUCUCGACCCCGCCCUGUGCAACUGGGUCCUGGACUUCCUGACGGGCCGCCCCCAGGUGGUGAGGGUAGGUAACAACAUCUCCAUCCCGCUGAUCCUUACCACUGGGGCUCCACAAGGGUGCGUUCUGAGCCCUCUCCUGUACUCCCUGUUCACCCACGACUGCGUGGCCAUGCACGCCUCCAACUCAAUCAUCAAGUUUGCGGGCGACACUACAGUGGUAGGCUUGAUUACCAACAACGACGAGACGGCCUACAGGGAGGAGGUGAGGGCCCUCGGAGUGUGGUGUCAGGAAAAUAAUCUCAAACUCAACGUCAACAAACAAAGGAGAUGAUUGUGGACUUCAGGAAACAGCAGAGGGAGCACCCCCCUAUCCACAUCGACGGGAGAGUAGUGGAGAAGGUGGAAAGUUUUAAGUACCUCUGUGUACACAUCACGGACAAACUGAAUUGGUCCACCCACACAGACAGAGUUGUGAAGAAGGCGCUGCAGCACCUCUUCAACCUCAGGAGGCUGAAGAAAUUCGGCUUGUCACCAAAAGCACUCACAAACUUCUACAGAUGCACAAUCGAGAGCAUCCUGUCGGGCUGUAUCACCGCCUGGUACGGCAACUGCUCCGCCCACAACCGUAAGGCUCUCCAGAGGGUAGUGAGGUCUGCACAACGCAUCACCGGGGGCAAACUACCUGCCCUCCAGGACACCUACACCACCCGAUGUCACAGGAAUGCCAUAAAGAUCAUCAAGGACAACAACCACCCGAGCCACUGCCUGUUCAUCCCGCUAUCAUCCAGAAGGCGAGGUCAGUACAGGUGCAUCAAAGCAGGGACCGAGAGACUGAAAAACAGCUUCUAUUUCAAGGCCAUCAGCCAUUGCUCCUUUGCCCAUGAGUAUUUUUAGUUUUUCCUCUGGGUUAAAUAAAUUAAAAUUUGGAAUAAAUGUAGUCAUUUCUGUGAAUAAUGAAUCUCUUGGUGAGGAAUAUUUAUCACAGUAAAGGAGAAAGUGCAUCUCUGUUUCUACCUCCCCUGUCUUGCAGUGACCACAUACACGCUCCUCUUUGGGUAGCCUUGUCUUUUUAUGUCUGCCGGUUUCUAUUGCCAAUCGGUGGUCACUCAGCCUGUACUUGGUAAGGAUCUGUCUCUGCUUCGUAUCUCUGACAGAGUAGAGAUAAUCAGCCAAUUCAUAUUCUCUGUUUAGGGUCAGAUAGCAAUUUAGUCGGCUCUGGGAUUUUGUUUUUCGUUUUUCCAACGUUGUAUAUAUGAGUCCUUUGAUUGGUUCAUGAUUUUGUUUAUUGGAAUUCUUUCUUUUGAAGCAGUGCUGGUGUCAGCUUGGUUGGUUAGGUCCAACACCAGCUGACUGAGAGGGCUCGUUUCUGGGCUCAGCUCUUGGGUUUGAAGUGCUUUAAAUUGCAGACUCGAAUUUGGACUUGAAUUUAGAUGUAGACAAAAUUUUAAUGAUCUUUUCUGUAUUUUCAUUAUUACUGGAAAGCGGUCCAAUUCUGCCCUACAUGCAUUAGUUGGUGUAUUUCUCUGGACUUGUAGGAUUUUCCGACAGAAUUCUGCAUGUAGGGCUUCAAUUGGAUGUUUGUCCCACAUUUUAAAGUUCAGUUUAUUGAAUGGCCCCCAAACCUCACUUCCAUAAAGAGCUAUUGGUAGGAUUACACUGUCAAAUAUUUUGGUCCAAAUUCUAAUUGGGAUGUUGAUUUUGAAUAAUUAAAUUUUUAUUGCAUACAAUGCUCUGCGGGUGUUAGUUCUGACCUUAGUUCUUUUGUUAUUUCUUUAUUUUAGUAUGGUCAGGGUGUGAGUUGGGUGGGUUAUCUAUGAAGGGUCCAACAUGUCUGCUAAUUCAUUGAUAUAAAUGUUGAAAAGAUUUGGACUCAAACUGCAGCCUUGUCUCACACCUCGACAUUGUGAAAAGAAUUCUGUUCUUUGGUUUUUGAUUUUUAUUGCACACUUGUUUUCUGUGUACAUACAUUUUAUUAAUUAAGUCAUACACCUUACCACCAAGACCACUUUGAAGAAUUAUGUAGAAUAGCCCUUCGUGCCAAAUAGAAUCAAAUGCUUUUUUAAAGUCAAUAAAGCAAGCAAAGAUUUUGCGCUCCAUUUUUUGGUGGACGUGUUUAUUAAUUAGUGUGUGUAAGGUGUAUAUAUGGUCCGUAGUGCGAUGGUUAGGGAGAAAGCCAAUUUGACAUUUAGUUAUUACAUUUUUUUCUUGAAGAAAGGUUUGAAUUCUUGAAUUCAAAAUGCUACAGAAAACCUUUCCCAAGUUACUGUUUACGCAAAUUCCCCUGUAAUUAUUGGGGUCUGAUUUGUCUCCACUUUUGUGGAUAGGGGAGAUGAGCCCCUGGUUCCAGACAUCAGGGAAGCUCUCUAUGUCUCUGUCUUUCUCUUUCUCUCUCUCUCUGACUCUCUCUCUCUGUCUCUUUCGCUCUCUCUGUCUCUCUCACUCGCUCUGUCUGUCUCUUGCUCUCUCUCUCUCUGUCUCUCGCUCACUCUCUGUCUCUCGCUCUCUCUCACUCUCUGUCUCUGUCUCUCUCACUCUCUGUCUCUGUCUCACUCUCUCUCUGUCUCUGUCGCUCGCUCACUCUCUCUCGCUCUCUCUGUCUCUCGCUCUCUCUCUCUCUCUGUCUCUCUCUCUGUCUCUGUCUCUCUCUGUCCCCCUCUCUCUCUCACCCCCCAGUCUUCUUUGUCACUCCUCUCUCACUCUUUUUCUCUCCUCUCCAUCCACCCCUCCCUCUAGUUUUGGAUUUCUUCCUCACGUUUGCUGCUUCCUCUAGUCUCUUGUCUCUUGUUCUCUCAUAUCUGUCCCCUUCUCUGCUUUCCAAUUUCAAUAUAUGCCAACUGCCAAUGCUGUUUUUUUUUGUUGAUUCAAUGACGUGGUCUGAAAUGUAAUAUGUAUCUCUCUAUCCACAGGGAUGUUAGGCGGUUAGUGGUAGCCAGGUCCAGGCUGGGCCUGUACAUCUUUGCCUGGGUCGGUCUGUUCCAGAACUGCUUUGAGCUGAGCACUGCCUUCAACCAGCUCACUGCCAGACCCGUUCCUAUCCCUACCUCUCUCUCCCUUCCUUUCCCUACCUCUCUCUCCCUUCCUAUCCCUACCUCUCUCUCUCUCUCUCCCUUCCUAUCCCUACCUCUCUCUCCCUUCCUAUCCCUACCUCUCUCUCCCUUCCUAUCCCUACCUCUCUCUCUCCCUUCCUAUCCCUACCUCUCUCUCUCCCUUCCUAUCCCUACCUCUCUCUCUCUCCCUUCCUAUCCCUACCUCUCUCUCUCUCCCUUCCUAUCCCUACCUCUCUCUCUCUCUCUCCCUUCCUAUCCCUACCUCUCUCUCUCUCUUCCUAACUCUCUCUACCUAUCUCUACCUCUCUCUUUCUUCCUAUCCAUACUUCUCUCUCUCUCUCUCUUCCUAUCCCUACUUCUCUCUCUCUCUCUCUCUCUUCCUAUCCCUACCUCUCUCUCUCUCUCUUCCUUUCCCUACCUCUCUCUCUCUCUCUCUCUCUCUCUCUCUCUCUUCCUAUCCCUACCUCUCUCUCUCUCCCUCCCUAUCCCUACCUCUCUCUCUCUCCCUUCCUAUCCCUACCUCUCUCUCUCCCUUCCUAUCCCUACCUCUCUCUCUCCCCCUUCAUAUCCCAACCUCUCUCUCCCUCCCUAUCCCUACCUCUCCCUCUCCCCCUUCCUAGCCCUACCUUUCUCUCUCCCCCUUCCUAUCCCUACCUCUCUCUCUCUCUCUCUCUCUCUCUCUUCCUAUCCCUACCUAUCUCUCUCCCCUCCUAUCCCUACCUCUCUCUCUCUCCCUUCCUAUCCCUACCUCUCUCUCUCUCUCUCUCUCUCUCUCUCCCUUCCUAUCCCUACCUGUCUCUCUCUCUCUCCCUUCCUAUCCCUACCUCUCUCUCUCUCUCUUCCUAACUCUCUCUCUCUCUUCCUAUCCCUACCUCUCUCUCUCUCUCUCUUCCUAUCCCUACAUCUCUCUCUCUCCCUUCCUAUCCCUACCUCUGUCUCUCUCCCUUCCUAUCCCUACCUCUCUCUCUCUCCCUUCCUAUCCCUACCUCUCUCUCUCUCCCUUCCUUUCCCUUCCUCUCUCUCUCUCUCUCCCUUCCUAUCCCUACCUCUCUCUUUCUCCCUUCCUAUCCCUACCUCUCUCUCUCCCUUCCUAUCCCUACCUCUCUCUCUCUCUCUCCCUUCCUAUCCCUACCUCUCUCUUCCUCCCUUCCUAUCCCUACCUCUCUCUCUCCCUUCCUAGCCCUACCUCUCUCUCUCCCUUCCUAUCCCUACCUCUCUCUCUCUCUCUCCCUUCCUAUCCCUACCUCUCUCUCUCUCUUCCUAACUCUCUCUACCUAUCUCUACCUCUCUCUUUCUUCCUAUCCCUACUUCUCUCUCUCUCUCUCUUCCUAUCCCUACUUCUCUCUCUCUCUCUCUCUCUUCCUAUCCCUACCUCUCUCUCUCUCUCUUCCUUUCCCUACCUCUCUCUCUCUCUCUCUUCCUAUCCCUACCUUUCUCUCUCUCCCUCCCUAUCCCUACCUCUCUCUCUCUCCCUUCCUAUCCCUACCUCUCUCUCUCCCUUCCUAUCCCUACCUCUCUCUCUCUUCCUUCCUAUCCCUACCUCUCUCUCUCUUCCUUCCUAUCCCUACCUCUCUCUCUCCCUCUCCCCCUUCAUAUCCCAACCUCUCUCUCCCUCCCUAUCCCUACCUCUCCCUCUCCCCCUUCCUAGCCCUACCUCUCUCUCUCCCCCUUCCUAUCCCUACCUCUCUCUCUCUCUCUCUCUCUCUCUUCCUAUCCCUACCUAUCUCUCUCCCCUCCUAUCCCUACCUCUCUCUCUCUCCCUUCCUAUCCCUACCUCUCUCUCUGUCUCUCUCUCUCUCUCUCCCUUCCUAUCCCUACCUGUCUCUCUCUCUCUCCCUUCCUAUCCCUACCUCUCUCUCUCUCUCUUCCUAACUCUCUCUCUCUCUUCCUAUCCCUACCUCUCUCUCUCUCUCUCUUCCUAUCCCUACAUCUCUCUCUCUCCCUUCCUAUCCCUACCUCUCUCUCUCUCCCUUCCUAUCCCUACCUCUCUCUCUCUCCCUUCCUUUCCCUUCCUCUCUCUCUCUCUCUCCCUUCCUAUCCCUACCUCUCUCUUUCUCCCUUCCUAUCCCUACCUCUCUCUCUCUCCCUUCCUAUCCCUACCUCUCUCUCUCUCUCUCCCUUCCUAUCCCUACCUCUCUCUUCCUCCCUUCCUAUCCCUACCUCUCUCUCUCCCUUCCUAGCCCUACCUCUCUCUCUCCCUUCCUAUCCCUACCUCUCUCUCUCUCCCAUCCUAUCCCUACCUCUCUCUUUCUCUCUCUCCUUUCCUAUCCCUUCCUCUCUCUCUCUCUCUUCCUAUCCCUACCUCUCUCUCUCUCUCUUCCUAUCCCUACAUCUCUAUCUCUCCCUUCCUAUCCCUACAUCUCUCUCUCCCUUCCUAUCCCUACAUCUCUCUCUCCCUUCCUAUCCCUACCUCUGUCUCUCUCCCUUCCUAUCCCUACCUCUCUCUCUCCCUUCCUAUCCCUACCUCUCUCUCUCUCCCUUCCUAUCCCUACCUCUCUCUCUCUAUCCCUUCCUAUCCCUACCUCUCUCUCUCUCUCCCUUCCUAUCCCUACCUCUCUCUCUCUCUCCCUUCCUAUCCCUACCUCUCUCUCUCCCUCUCCCCCUUCCUAACCCUACAUCUCUCUCCCCCUUCCUACCCCAACCUCUCUCUCUCUUCCUAUCCCUACCUCUCUCUUCCCCUUCCUAGCCCUACCUCUCUCUUCCCCUUCCUACCCCUACCUCUCUCUCUCUCUUCCUAUCCCUACCUCUCUCUCUCUCUCUCUUCCUAUCCCUACCUCUCUCUCCCCCCUUCCUAGCCCUACCUCUCUCUCUCUCUUCCGAUCCCUAACUCUCUCUCUCUUCCUAUCCCUAACUCUCUCUCUCUUCCUAUCCCUACCUCUCUCUCUUUUCCUAUCCCUACCUCUCUCUCUCCCUUCCUAUCCCUACCUCUCUCUCUCUCUUCCUAGCCCUACCUCUCUCUCUCCCCCUUCAUAGCCCUACCUCUCUCUCUCUCUUCCUAUCCCUACCUCUCUCUCUCCCUUCCUAUCCCUACCUCUCUCUCUCUUCCUAUCCCUACCACUCUCUCUCUCCCUUCCUAUCCCUACCUCUCUCUCUUCCUAUCCCUACCUCUCUCUCUCCCUUCCUAUCCCUACCUCUCUCUCUCUUCCUAUCCCUACCUCUCUCUCUCUUCCUAUCCCUACCUCUCUCUCUCUUCCUAUCCCUACCUCUCUCUCUCCCUUCCUAUCCCUACCUCACUCUCUCUCUCUCUUCCUAUCCCUACCUCUCUCUCUCCCUCUCCCACUUCCUAGCCCUACCUCUCUCUCCCCCUUCCUAUCCCAACCUCUCUCUCUCUCUUCCUAUCCCAACCUCUCUCUCUCUCUCUUCCUAUCCCUAGCUUUUUCUCUCUUCCUUCCUAUACCUACCUCUCUCUCUCUCUUCCUAUCCCUACCUCUCUCUCUCUCUCUUCCUAUCCCUACCUCUCCCCCUUCCUAGCCCUACCUCUCUCUCUCCCUCUCCCCCUUCCUAGCCCUACCUCUCUCUCUCCCCCUUCCUAGCCCUACCUCUCUCUCUCCCCCUUCCUAGCCCUACCUCUCUCUCUUCCUAUCCCUACCUCUCUCUCUCUUUUCCUAUCCCUACCUCUCUCUCUCUUCCUAUCCCUACCUCUCUCUCUCUCUCUCUUCCUAUCCCUACUUCUCUCUCUCUCCCUUCCUAUCCCUACCUCUCUCUCUCCCUUCCUAUCGCUACCCUUCUCUCUCUCCCUUCCUAUCCCUACCUCUCUCUCUCUCCCUUCCUAUCCCUACCUCUCUCUCUCCCUUCCUAUCCCUACCUCUCUCUCUCUCCCUUCCUAUCCCUACCUCCCUCUUUCUCUCUCUCCUUUCCUAUCCCUUCCUCUCUCUCUCGCUCUCUCUCUUCCUAUCCCUACCUUUCUCUCUCUCUUCCUAGCCCAUUCCUAUCCCAACAUCUCUCUCUCUCUCCCUAUCCCUACCUCUCUCUCUCUCUUCCUAUCCGUACCUCUUUUUCUCUCUCUUCCCCUCCGUACCUCUCUCUCUCUCUCUCUCUUCCUAUCCCUACCUCUCUCUCCCCCCUUCCUAGCCCUACCUCUCUCUCUCUCUUCCUAUCCCUAACUCUCUCUCUCUUCCUAUCCCUACCUCUCUCUCUUUUCCUAUCCCUACCUCUCUCUCUCCCUUCCUAUCCCUACCUCUCUCUCUCUCUUCAUAGCCCUACCUCUCUCUCUCCCCCUUCAUAGCCCUACCUCUCUCUCUCUUCCUAUCCCUACCUCUCUCUCUCUUCCUAUCCCUACCUCUCUCUCUCUUCCUAUCCCUACCUCUCUCUCUCUUCCUAUCCCUACCUCUCUCUCUCCCUUCCUAUCCCUACCUCUCUCUCUCUCUUCCUAUCCCUACCUCUCUCUCUCUCUCUCUCUUCCUAUCCCUACCUCUCCCCCUUCCUAGCCCUACCUCUCUCUCUCCCUCUCCCCCUUCCUAGCCCUACCUCUCUCUCUCCCCCUUCCUAGCCCUACCUCUCUCUCUCCCCCUUCCUAGCCCUACCUCUCUCUCUUCCUAUCCCUACCUCUCUCUCUCUUUUCCUAUCCCUACCUCUCUCUCUCUUCCUAUCCCUACCUCUCUCUCUCUCUCUUCCUAUCCCUACUUCUCUCUCUCUCCCUUCCUAUCCCUACCUCUCUCUCUCCCUUCCUAUCGCUACCCUUCUCUCUCUCCCUUCCUAUCCCUACCUCUCUCUCUCUCCCUUCCUAUCCCUACCUCUCUCUCUCCCUUCCUAUCCCUACCUCUCUCUCUCUCCCUUCCUAUCCCUACCUCCCUCUUUCUCUCUCUCCUUUCCUAUCCCUUCCUCUCUCUCUCUCUCUCUUCCUAUCCCUACCUUUCUCUCUCUCUUCCUAGCCCAUUCCUAUCCCAACAUCUCUCUCUCUCUCCCUAUCCCUACCUCUCUCUCUCUCGUCCUAUCCGUACCUCUUUCUCUCUCUCUUCCUCUCCGUACCUCUCUCUCUCUCUCUCUCUUCCUAUCCCUACCUCUCUCUCUCUACCUCUCCCCCUUCCUAUCCCAACCUCUCUCUCGCUCUCUCUCUCUCCUUUCCUAUCCCUACCUAUGAUUCUAACAAAUCACAAAAAAACUGCCACUGUUUCUUAUGCUGGGCAUCGUUCACAAGUUAUAAUAUAUAGCCGGAAAAACCUGUCAGCUAUGCACUUAAAUAGCGAAUGAAGGACGCUUUUCCCCGUGGUUUAUUUUCAUGCCAGCCAGGUAGGAUAUACUCCUGUUAUAAAUAUUAGCAUUGUGCUUAAUAUUAAGAAAGUUGAGAAAUAAAUAUAGUAGGCCUAGCUGAUAGAAAGCUGAUGGAAUCCUCCUCUUCUUUUAGAGGCCAUCACUUUUUUUCGCCGCAAUUACAUAGCCUAUAGAAAUGUUGUGCAACAUAAGUUCAUGUGCUCUCAUGAAGUUUUUGAAUAGAUUUUCAAACCAUUUGCAUUGAUGUGAAAGUGAUUAGAGGGACAAUAGAGUGCCGAGUACCAGGCAGUUAGCAAGUUUGGUAGGCUACUAAUGACCAUUAGCAGCAUCAUAGCUACCAUGACUAAACGGUCUUGUGGAAUUUGACUCCCUUCAUAACUCGUGACUGCCGGUGUGGUCUAGCUGUUACACACUGGGAUAUGUCAAUCUGAUUGGCUUACCCAAUAGCAGUUGGAAGAGCUGCUGCUAAGCUGCAUUUAUAGGUCAGUCACCCUGCACAUGAAGCCAUGUUGGGAGGGGAGCCGGUACUUCAGAUAAAUGACUACACGACCCCACUCUAUAACAAAGUGUCAAUAUCAGUGUUUGGAAACAAAGGUACGCGGUGACACAGUUCACUGAGAUUGUGGUGGUGGAUCGGAGCCUAACCUGACCUGACUCCCAUGGGUAAUCCUCGUUGGUCCUGGUAGCAUGGAUAGGCCACAGUCUGCAGGCUAACAACACACACUGGGAAUUUAGACAUUAUCAUGCACCAGAGGUUAACUAGCUAUUACAUACUCCAGGCUAUGCCAUUAUCCUCCCCCACACUACACCCCCACUGUCUGAGAGGAGAGGAGAGGUCGCGUCCACAGCUGCUCAAGGCCAAGCCACAGUACAGUCGUGGUGUUUCAACAGACACGUAGGCAGCCUAGCUAGAGAAACAGUAUGGUUUGGAAUCAGGGAAAUGGUUCUUAUUGAGAGCAAUAUGUUGCACGAUAUGUUGCACAGUUUUGUUGUAAUUUACAGUGUCUUCAAAGGCUGUUUAGACAUAGAAUUUUUUUGGGGGGGGGUGGGUCGGCUUUGAAAUUAGCAGAUAGAAUUGAACUCUAUCAAAUAACAUUACUUGCAUAAUUUCUAAUCCCCUUUUUUAAAUAUUUGUAUUUAUUUUUUAUUAUCACCCACAAUCACCUGACCUCAUCCCAAUUGAAAUGGUUUGGGAGGAGUUGGAAAACAGAGUGAAGGAAAAUCAUUCAAGAAGUGCCCAGCAUAUGUGGGAACUCCUUCAAGACUGUUGGAAAAGCAAUCCUCAUGAAGCUGGUUAAGAAAAUGCCAAGAGUGUGCAAAGCUGUCAUCAAGGCAAAGGGUGGCUACUUUGAAUGAUCUAAAAUACUAGGAUGGCCAAUUGUGGGUCGUGUUUCUGGAGUAUCAUGUGGCUGGUGAUUUUGCUGAUCAUAGCCUGGCCAGUCAGUAUUUUACUGGGGGGGCUCUACGGCCUCAUCACCCCCCUCACCACCUGUGUGGGCCUGGACCGCCUGUCAGACCUGCUCCUGGAGGGGGCCAACCUGGGUCGGACCUGCAUCCAAAACAUGAGACACAGCAAGGCAGUGUGUUGAGACCAGACUGAACCAGAUGCUGGUCCUGGAAGUGACUGCUGGUUCUCAUCUUGUCGCAGUGGAAAGGGCUAGACGUUUCCUGCACAGAGGAAUAGUCAGUGUAACAGUUACUGUUCACGCCAAAGGCCAUUGUGUUAUUGUUUGUCUUUUCACGUUAUUGAGGUGUUAAUAUCUCACACUCCAAAGUCAGCCAAACACUAAGAAAACUUGCACUUACCAAACCUUUAACAAAAUAUUUAUGCUCACUCUAUCAAUGUGUCAUUAACAGUAGAUGUUAUUUUUUGUUUGGGUUUGUCUACUCUACAACUUGAAAUACAAAUACUUUGUAUUCAUAACCUGUAUUUGCUGUUUUUAAUUCAGAAUGACACCCUGCACAGGGCAGAUAAGAAUGUUCAACAGCUUAACUUUAACAAUAGAGCAGUUAUGACUUCAUUUUUUAUGAUUUAAACUUAAUGCAAUUAAAUUAUUUUUGA